GACCGCCACGGUGACUUGCAAGCAACUCACUGCACUUAGGCACUGGACUACCUGAAUUUCUAAUUCAAUGACGAAAGGCUGCUGGGUGUAGUCAAGUACUUGACUUGUCGGUGCGUGUGUUAAGAUGGGAUUGACUACUCCAGUUUAGGAGCUGUGUACAGUCGUGUUUCAAUUUAGCAAAACCUUGGCCAGGGUAGUCCUAGUGAGGAGUCACAGGACUAAUUGAGUUGAGCACAAUUCGGAUGAUAUCAUCAGGGUUGACAGUUUAACCUUGAGUCAUCCUAAACAUAGGGGUCAAAAUGGAUGAAUUAUACGGUAACCAUAUUCACGUAGGUUCUGAAUGUUGUGAUUGCGAUUAUUCGAUCUAUCCGGUCGUCGGGUACCAUUGCUAGAUGGUCACUUCGAUUAGUACAGGAAUUGGUUCCUGUGCUACCGGCUUAGGUUCGAACCUGCGGGGUCACAUACAUUAGUGGUUCCUUUCUGAUCAGAUGGCUGAUUAUGAGUCUUAUGUGUCUGAGACUCUAUGAUUGAGAAUUAGGAUUCUCUGAUCAUGAGUUCCACAUAUUU
rnacentral:lncRNA from 1 species